rnacentral:lncRNA from 1 species
GCACGCCCAGCACCCCCCUCAGCGUGACCGCGCUCCCCUCCUGCUGCGCAGCUCUACCAAACCCUCACCUGGCUCGGAAAUCAUCCAGGCUUGGAGCAACUUUGCGGAGCAUUACCGGGCGUGGUGGGCCUGGAGGCGGUGGGGGUGGAGGUGCUUUAAUGGUACAACUUUGGCUUUUCUUUCAAGAGGAGAAAACAAGAGGGAGAGUGGGGUGGGGGCUCUGUUGGGCCCCUGAGGAGUCGAAGGUUGCCUCUCUGACACUGCAUCAGGUCAACCAUGGGCUCUCUGGGACGCCUAUCAAGCCCAGCAGUACCCCUGGAGUUGUCCCCAUACUGGAUUCCUGUGACCCUGCCAGGGUCAGGCGGGACCGCGUACUGACAGCUCCACAAGGGCCAAGAGAUGUCUUUGCAACUAUCAUGAAGCCUCCUGUAUCCAUAGGCCCUGAGAUUCUGGUACCUAUGGGCAAAAGGGCCAACUGAACCAGGCCUAGGCUGAUUCCAGCCCAGCUGCACCCAGCACUACCCAGUCACAGGUAAGAGGCCAUUUGUGGGUUAGUGGGGCUUUUAGGGAGGGCUGUCUCGAGGCCCUCUAUCCACAUG